rnacentral:sRNA from 2 species
UUAUAGCCCCGAUAGCAGUGAAAAUCCUUUUUAUUUUUCUUUAAAAUAAAAAGAUUGAAACGUAUAGCGGGAAAUAGC